rnacentral:tRNA from 1 species
GCCCGGAUGGCGGAAUUGGUAGACGCGUUGGACUUAAAAUCCAAUGGUCAUU